UACGUAGGGCGCAAGCGUUGUCCGGAAUUACUGGGCGUAAAGAGCUCGUAGGUGGUUUGUCGCGUUGUUCGUGAAAACUCACAGCUCAACUGUGGGCGUGCGGGCGAUACGGGCAGACUAGAGUACUGCAGGGGAGACUGGAAUUCCUGGUGUAGCGGUGGAAUGCGCAGAUAUCAGGAGGAACACCGAUGGCGAAGGCAGGUCUCUGGGCGGUAACUGACGCUGAGGAGCGAAAGCAUGGGAGCGAACAGG
rnacentral:rRNA from 1 species